CGGGCUUGUAAGUCAGUGGUGAAAUACUGCCGCUUAACGGUAGAAUUGCCAUUGAUACUGCGAGUCUUGAGUAUGGUUGAGGUAGGCGGAAUGUGCAGUGUAGCGGUGAAAUGCAUAGAGAUUGCACAGAACACCGAUUGCGGAGGCAGCUUACUAAGCCAUAACUGACGCUGAGGCACGAAAGCGUGGGGAGCGAACAGGAUUAGAUACCCUGGUAGUCCACGCUGUAAACGAUGUUCACUCGCUGUUUGCGAUACACAGUAAGCGGCUUAGCGAAAGCAUUAAGUGAACCACCUGGGGAGUACGAUCGCAAGGUUGAAACUCAAAGGAAUUGACGGGGGCCCGCACAAGCGGAGGAACAUGUGGUUUAAUUCGAUGAUACGCGAGGAACCUUACCUGGGCUUAAAUGUAGGCUGCAUUUCCGGGAAACCGGGAUUCCCUUCGGGGCUGCUUACAAGGUGCUGCAUGGUUGUCGUCAGCUCGUGCCGUGAGGUGUCGGGUUAAGUCCCAUAACGAGCGCAACCCUUAUCGUUAGUUGCUAGCAGGUAAAGCUGAGGACUCUAGCGAGACUGCCACCGUAAGGUGAGAGGAAGGUGGGGAUGACGUCAAAUCAGCACGGCCCUUAUGUCCAGGGCUACACACGUGCUACAAUGGCCGGUACAGAGGGAAGCUACCUGGUGACAGGUUGCCAAUCUUAAAAGCCGGUCUCAGUUCGGAUUGGAGUCUGCAACCCGACUCCAUGAAGUUGGAUUCGCUAGUAAUCGCGCAUCAGCCAUGGCGCGGUGAAUACGUUCCCGGGCCUUGUACACGCCGCCCGUCAAAC
rnacentral:rRNA from 1 species